ACUAUAUAAAGCGCGUGAGUACGUGUUUCGGUCAUUUGCGGAGCAGUUUGUUGGCUGUUGCUGAGAUUUAACGCAUGAUGGCAGCUCCUAGUGUGUUUUGAUAACAUUGAAGUACAAGCAGUAAUGAAGUCCCUCUUUCUGCAAGGCAAACAACCAGCAGAAAUCCCUAGCAAGAUGAAGGAAGUAUUGAAAGAUGGCUGUCCAUCUUAUUCCACGAUAAAAAUCUGGCUGACAAGGUUUCAGACCGAUCAUUUUGAGGUCAUAGAUAAACCCCAGUUGGGACAGCCAACUUCUGCAACUACAGAGGACUGCUGGAUCUCAGCUGAGACUCUAGGGAUUUCCUGCGAAAGAUUUCAUCACACCAUCCAUGACAUUCUAGGCAUGAGAGGGUUUUCUGCAAAGUGGGUGCCAAAAUAGGUACAUCAAAAUGACAGCAGAAGUUGAUUUUAUGGCUCGUUUAGUCACCACAGGUGGAACUAGGCUUCAUCGUUAUGGUCCCCGGACCAAGCAGCAAUUGGUGGAAUGGUAUCACAGUGGUUCACACCACAUCCCAAGGCGUUUUGGACACUGAAAACAAGAUUUUGGCUUCAGUGUUCUGGGACAAAGCUGGAGUAUUCAUUUUAGAAUACCUGCCAAAGGGUCACACCAUCAAUGCAGAAAUGCCAUGGAAAACUGACCCAUGAUGUCUUGUUUUUGUAGGGUAGUGCACCAGCACAUGAAACCCUAGAAAAAAUACACAGCUUUGGCUUUAAAUUGGUAGUCCGCUCCUGACUUGACCCCCUCUCACUAUCACCUCUUUUCAUAACUGAAAAAACAGCUCAACAGAAUGAAAUUUCAUUCUGAGAAGUGAUUGUUGCUACAGAGGCAUGGUUAGAGGCCCAACCUUCCAAGUUCUUUUUUCAGGGUUUAGAAAAACUGAAGGACUGCUGUGGUAAGUUUGUGUAUCUGAAAGGGGAGUAUGUUGAAUAAAAUCAUUAACUGAUCCUCCUGUAUUUUCUUUUAUCCAAGGUCUGGAACUUUUAAGUAUCCCCUUGUAUGUAAUAAGUUCUGAUAUUAUGAUGAACACAGGUCGGAACACUGUGCUAUUUUCAGCAGUGAUGACAGCCCUACUUGUUCACUACUUCUGAAUAUCAGACACUAAUUGUGUGAUGUCUUGAUCUUUGAUUCCCUUUCACUGAUUCAUUUCUUAAAUCAACAUUUUGUAAUCAUGAAAUUCAAUAAAAUAUUUUUAUUAAAAAAAAAAA
rnacentral:lncRNA from 1 species